rnacentral:tRNA from 1 species
GUUCUUGUAGUUGAAUUACAACGGUGGUUUUUCAAGUCAUUAGUCUCGGUUAGAGCCCGGGCAAGAAUC